UACGGAGGGUGCAAGCGUUAUCCGGAUUCACUGGGUUUAAAGGGUGCGUAGGCGGGCAUGUAAGUCAGUGGUGAAAUCUCAAAGCUUAACUUUGAAACUGCCAUUGAUACUAUGUGUCUUGAAUUUCCUUGAGGUUAGCGGAAUAUGUCAUGUAGCGGUGAAAUGCUUAGAUAUGACAUAGAACACCGAUUGCGAAGGCAGCUGACUAGAGGUAGAUUGGCGCUGAUGCACGAAAGCGUGGGGAUCAAACAGG
rnacentral:rRNA from 1 species